rnacentral:pre_miRNA from 1 species
UAAUCUUUCCGGCAGAUUUCUAUGUGCUUGAAAUGGACGAGUCGGACCAUUCCCCUGCAUUGCCUAUCCUCAUUGGACGACCAUUCAUGAAAACUGCCUGUACUAAG